GAUGAAGAACGUAGUGAAACGCGAUAUUUCUUGUGAAUUGCAGAAGUGAAUCAUCAGUUUUUGAACGCACAUUGCACUUUGGGGUAUCCCCCAAAGUAUACUUGUUUGAGCGUUGUUUCUCUCUUGGAAUUGCUUUGCUCUUCUAAAAUUUCGAAUCAAAUUCGUUUGAAAAACAACACUAUUCAACCUCAGAUCAAGUAGGACUACCCGCUGAACUUAAGCAUAUCAAUAAGCGGAGGA
rnacentral:misc_RNA from 1 species